rnacentral:lncRNA from 10 species
AUUCCUAGAAGUCUACCAGGAGAAACAUCUCUGAAUAACAGGGGAAGGCCAUCCUUGGAGAAAAUUGGCAGGGCUCUCCCCUGUGUCUGACAACACGGAUUUGUGUACAAGCCAAAGAUCCCCACGGAUCUGAAUUGGAGCAGCUGGAGUUUCUAAGGACUGGUGUGAUGGAGCUCAGUGAACAUUUGGGGACAUUUGGGGAACUGCACCAUGAGGUGUUUCCUUGAGAGAGGCUUGAGAAUAGAAGAACGAUGACAUAGCAGAGGCAGACCAGGGCCCAGAGGAAUGUAGGUUGUCUAUGGUACUCUGGAGAGACUUUUAAAGCUCACAGAUUCAAUGCACCAUAGGGUUGUGUGUGGGGCAGCAGGCAACAUGCUAAAAUGGUCACCAAGAUUUCCUGCCUCCUCACCCCGCUCUCCGUACACACCCUGCAGGAUCCCCAGUACUGUUAAUGUGAUGAAUGUUUCCCCUGUGAUUCCAUUAUGUAAUAUGGCACAGGUGACUGUAAGAAAGAAGGAUUAUUGAGAUGUACAUAACCCAAUGACCUGAAAGCCUUAAAAGCAGGGAGUUUUCUCUAGCUAGUGGCAGAAGGGAAGAUUAGAAACUGGGAGAAUCAGAGGGAUUUGCUUCAUCAUUGCAGGUCUGCAAAUGGAGGGGCUACGUGGCAGGGAAUGUGAGCAGGAUCUGGUUGCUGAGAGCAGCCCCAGCUGACAACCAGCGAGGAGGUGGAAAUCCUAGUCCUGCAACUGCAACCAAGGGAAUUCUGCUAACAACAAGCAAAAACUGAAAAGUUGAUUUUUCUCUAGAGCCUCCAGACAAGAACUCAGCCCAAGUGACACCCUGAUUUUGGCCUUGAGUUCAUCCUACACAGAGAACCCCACCUUGCCAUGCUGGACUUUGACUUACAGAACUGUGGGCUAAUAAGUGGGUGCUGUUUUAAGCCUCUAAAUUUGUGGUAACUUGUUACCCAGCAAUAGAUAAUGAAUGCAUUUCUCAAAUCAAAACAGUAAACAGAGGAAACUAUUUUGGCAGGAACAGUGAAGAAUGAAUGCAAGGAGGUAGAGCCGCAUGUAGGAAACCUACUGAAAUCAUCUGGGGUUUCCAUGCAUAAUAAGAACCAGUGGCAAACGGCAACAUAGUUCAGACCUGCACAUUUUGAUACUAAUCAUAUUACUGAGUUGGAGAAGAAAGGUUUUCAACACAGAAGAUGUAUAAAAAUCACAUGGAAAGGGAUAUCAUCUUCAUAACUUCCAAAGCUCAGCCCUUAUGCAGUAUUGGUGGCAACACCAGAAAUGAAUAACGGAUUUAUAAUUGUAUUUGUAACUCAGCCAAAUGGCCCGCUCUGUCGCCCAGGCUGGAGUGCUGUGGUGCGAUCUCAGCUCACUACAACCUCCGCCUCCCAGGUUCAAGCGAUUCUCUUGCCUCAGCCUCCGAGUAGUUGAGAUUACAGGCACACACCACCAUGCCCGGCUAAUUUUUUUGUCUUUUUAGUAGAGACGGGGUUUCACCAUGUUGGCCAGGCUGGUCUCAAACUCCUGACCUGAGGUGAUCUGCCCGCCUUGGCCUCUCAAAGUGCUAGGAUUACAGGCAUAAGCCAAAGCACCCGGCCAAAACUUAUACUUUUUUUUUCAGUAAUAUUAAGGGUCUUUAAUUAGGUACUGCUCAUUUGAGGAAGUGUCCCAUUUUUCGCUGUCUUGGUUAGAAAAAUACUGUGACAUCUGUUUAUUUGUUUCUGAAUUGAUGAAUCACAAGUGAGUUUAAGAUCACUGCAGUUCCCCACUCAUGGACUGGUACCUCCUGACACACACAUCGAAGACUUUGACGUCCAGUCAACAUUGAGAAAAACUGCUGUGGAAAGUUCACAUGGAUUCUGAAGACACCAUCCAUUCUGGAUUUUGACACGUGGUUUGACCUAAUAAUUUCUACUCCAUAAUAAACCAAAUCUUAUUCAUUCCUCCCUGAAGCCAUAUGUACGUACUAGGCCAUAGGUGGCCAGAAGGUACAAGUCCUCUCUAACCACAGAAAAUCUCCAUCAAGACUUCUGUGAGAUCUGACCUGGGUGCUGAAUAGGUCCAGUAUUCUAGCACAAUGCAAGGCACUCAUUUGACACUCAGUGUAAGUUUUUUGAAUAAAUGGCAUUUUCAAACUUUGUGGGUUAGUUGUAGAUAACUCUAUAUCUAUUUUAUAUAUUAUUGGAAUUCUG